UACGUAGGGUGCAAGCGUUGUCCGGAAUUAUUGGGCGUAAAGAGCUCGUAGGCGGCUCGUCACGUCGGCUGUGAAAACCCGGGGCUCAACCCCGGGCCUGCAGUCGAUACGGGCGAGCUAGAGUUCGGCAGGGGAGACUGGAAUUCCUGGUGUAGCGGUGAAAUGCGCAGAUAUCAGGAGGAACACCGGUGGCGAAGGCGGGUCUCUGGGCCGAUACUGACGCUGAGGAGCGAAAGCCAGGGAGCAAACGGG
rnacentral:rRNA from 1 species